rnacentral:rRNA from 1 species
AUUGAACGCUGGCGGCAGGCCUAACACAUGCAAGUCGAGCGGAUGAAGGGAGCUUGCUCCUGGAUUCAGCGGCGGACGGGUGAGUAAUGCCUAGGAAUCUGCCUGGUAGUGGGGGAUAACGUCCGGAAACGGGCGCUAAUACCGCAUACGUCCUGAGGGAGAAAGUGGGGGAUCUUCGGACCUCACGCUAUCAGAUGAGCCUAGGUCGGAUUAGCUAGUUGGUGGGGUAAAGGCCUACCAAGCCGACGAUCCGUAACUGGUCUGAGAGGAUGAUCAGUCACACUGGAGCUGAGACACGGUCCUGACUACUACGGGAGGCAGCAGUGGGGAAUAUUGGACAAUGGGCGAAAACCUGAUCCAGCCAUGCCGCGUGUGUGAAGAAGGUCUUCGGAUUGUAAAGCACGUUAAGUUGUGAGGAAGGGCAGUAAGUUAAUACCUUGCUGUUUUGACGUUACCAACAGAAUAAGCACCGGCUAACUUCGUG